rnacentral:rRNA from 1 species
GAUGAACGCUGGCGGCGUGCCUAACACAUGCAAGUCGAGCGAGAAGUUUUGAACAGAUUCUUCGGAUGAAAUAUAAAAUGGAAAGCGGCGGACGGGUGAGUAACGCGUAGGCAACCUGCCCCAUACAAAGGGAUAGCAUUUGGAAACGAAUAUUAAUACCUUAUGAAACUUAACUAGUGCAUGCUAGGUAGGUCAAAGAUUUAUCGGUAUGGGAUGGGCCUGCGUCUGAUUAGCUAGUUGGUGAGGUAACGGCUCACCAAGGCGACGAUCAGUAACCGACCCGGAGAGGUGGACGGGCAACAUGGAAAUGGGACACGGUCCAAGCUCCCACCGGGAGGAGCAGGGGGGGAUAAUUCGACAUGGGGGGAACGCUGAUGCAGCAAAGGCGGGUGAACGGAGGAGGGCCUUGGGUUGGAAAGGCCUGUUCUAGGUGAAGAAAAAUGACAGUAACCUAGGAGAAAGCCCCGGCUAACUCCGUG